GUACAAUGCGAAGCGAAGCAGUGAUGUGAAGCAAAUCGCACCAAAGCCAGUCCCAGUUCGGAUAAGAGGCUGAAACUCGCCUCUUUGAAGUCGGAAUCGCUAGUAAUCGCAGAUCAGCAUGUUGCGGUGAAUACGUUCCCGGGUCUUGUACACACCGCCCGUCAAACCAUGAGAGUCACCAACACCCGAAGUCCGCCUUGGCGGCCUAAGGUGGGGGAGAUGAUUGGGGUUAAGUCGUAACAAGGUAAC
rnacentral:rRNA from 1 species